UAUAUCUUUAAAAUGAAUGUUUAUUAAAGAAAAAGAAAAUCCAAGAUUUAAUCGACACUUUAAAUGCAAGUGUUAACCCGUAAUUUUUUAGUAGCAACUAGCAAGAAGUCGGCCAUCCCCUAACAAAAAUUAGGAGGCUCGUUGAACACAAUACAACAUCGAUAGGUUCAGUAACAAAUCGCACACUUUUUUGACUGAUGGAAAGUUUAACUAAUUCAGUAUGGUUCAAAAAGAAAACUGAAUACAUCAGUAACCAGCAACUAUAAAAGGGAGGGAAAAAAUUAAAAAAUAAACAGUCACGUGUUAGAAAAGGGUCCUCACACCCAAUCUGUGACUCACCAAUUCAGGACCUGAAAGUAAUUCCAGAUUCCAGCCAUUCAACUCUGGCCUCAGAAUGAACAAACAGGUUGAAACUUGAUUGUUUCCUAUAACUCAUAUGGGCAAAUGUUCACCGCUUCAGAAUGUUAAAAUGUGCUGCACUGCCAUGCGUAGACAGCAGGCUCGCCAGUUGCCAACAUCUCUCAUUACAUUUGGGUUAACCAAUCAGUUUCAUCGUCAAUAUAUUCAUUUUGGAAACCUGAUCUGGUAGACAUCCAGGGGAACAUAUUCCACUGUCACAGUGCGGUUAUCAAAUAAUCGUCCAUGCAAACAAUGUGCAGCCAUACAUGAGGCUUCUGUUCUACUGAAUUCAACAAAAACACAGCCUGGCUCAAAAAUGUGGUCAAGAUCGCAACUCUGUUCCUCAUGUUCUCCCUUCUCAAUCGCAUCUGAUCCUACUCUGAGAUCACCUACAGAAGAUUCCUUCAUAUUUCCACCGACUACCUCCAAAUAUGGCCCUUCUCCAUUUGGCAAUUUGUCUUCCACACUUGAAUCCUUCAUUUGACUAUUAUCAAUCACCUUGUCAUCAGAGAAGUCUGAUCCAUCUUUUGAGGCCUGCUGAGCAAGUUCUUGAGAAUUGGAUACACUCUCGUCACAUAGGUUGCCAACAGCCAUAUUAACAUUAAAUGAACCUGGUUGACCUGGAUUGUCCUCCAUAAGAUUGCUUGUAGGUUUACCAUCCCCUGCAUCACUGCCUUCCACAAUUUUACAGUCCACAGUUUCCAUUGUCUCUGUUUUGGCAUUUGUCUCCUUGAACACUAAGUUUUGCUGAGAUCCAGCAGGUUCCAUAUCCUCAUUGACUCCACAUGCUACUGAUGUGGAAAUGGGAGUUGCAUCGCACUUGACAGCAUUAACAGAUUUAACAGUGCCAAACCUUCCACACUCUAGACGUACAUCUUCCAGUCUUUCUUCAAUUUCUGUAUGAGAGAGUAAUGGAAGGGCUUCUGGAUCAAACUUAUUCAUAUUCCAAAAAGAACAAGUAUACAAUGGGUAGCUUAGGAAAACAGUAAUCAAAUUCGACAAAAACUAAAGGAUCAUCAUACAAUAUGUGAAGAAAGAAAAUAUUAAACAAUUAUCAAAUAAUUAAAUCUAAGUCCAAGUAAUAUAUACCAUACCACAUUUUUAAGCUUUAAAACUUGUGUAGGCUUCUUAAGAAGUACCAUUGCCUGCUCAGGGACCCCAUAGAAAGGUGGGUUUCCACUAGUUUCCUAGCGUAAGUCGUUUCUUAGGUCAGUGCAUAUGCACGUGUAUUACAUAAUCUAUUUAAUUAAGAAUCUAUAGAAAAGUAUGACUUACCAAGGUUGAUGCAUUUGGAGCAGCUUGAACUGCAGUUAUUACUUGCCCUCCUAACUUCAUACCAUUCAGACCCACACAAGCUUUGAGUGUAACUGAUUGGUCUGCAUACUGAGAUUAAAAAAUAAUAAUAAUAAAAAUGCUUAGACAGCCCAGGUAAGGAGAGAGAAUUUACAACAAAGGAAAACAAACCACAAAGAAUGGUUGGAAACAUUGCAAUACAUAUGCAAAGCAACAGUAUGGCCCGGAAACAGGGCACAACGGCAUGCCUCUCUCAAAGCAAAUGUUAAGGAAUGGCAAACUAUGCUCCAUUACCUCUAGAAAAGCCCAAGAGUCAUUAAGAUCAUCACUGUUUUCAAAAUGGUAUGCCUUCAAAGGUCCAAAAGCGCUUGCAAUCUCCAUAAUCAUUUUAGAAGAAAGAGCCUUUGAAAUUCCACCAACAAAGAUCUUGUGUGGUGAAUCCUUCACAAUAUUGCUUAUUGCAUUGACUGCAUUCAUUGAUUUUUCUGGUUCACCAGUCUGCAUGAAAAUAGCAACUGUCUGAAAACCUGCUCAUGAAUAAUAACCACAAAUAUACCUCAGAAAACACAAAGCAGCACAGAAAUGCAAGGAAGAAAGUACUAGUUUAAUUAAAGAAAUGGCUUCUGUUUACAACAGAGACAAACUUCAGCAUAGCUUUACCUCCCAAAAAAAAAUUUAAAAUUAAGCAAAACACAAUAAUGUAUGGAGAAAAAAAUGCGACGCCUUUAAUUGCACAAGGCUGGUUCCAUAAUGAAAGAGAGCAAUCCCUGAUAAUUUGAUAUAUGUUGUCAAACAAGGGACCAGACCAUUUAUCUCACAAGAACAAAGCCAAAAGAUAAGUAAUCCACCCACAUAUCAGUGUAUGUAGUGCAUACAGCAAAAGUAAAAACCCCAAGUCAUCAUCCUCAGGUUUUAGACAGGAUAGAUAAUGCCAAAAGGUUAUAUAGUAGAGGACUAAUUACGUGGUGAAUAUUGAAAUAUUAAGUCUGUUGACAAAUGCCAACUUCCACUAGAAAUAAGCCAAAUACCACGUACGUUAAAAUGCACAAAUAUUGCAUUAGAAAAGAAAUUUUGCAGUAAUUACAACAUAAAUACGCCAAUAAUAAUAAUAAUACUUGUUAAGCAAAAAUCAUAUGAAAAUUAGUGCAAUGUUGACACAUCUCCACAAAUGCUCACUCUCAAUUGAGCAUAUGAAGCACUGUCUAACCUAAGAACUCCAGGAAGUCUUCUCAGAAAACUAAAUAUCCACAAAGCAUAUGUGUGUUCUAUAUCUCCUAGGGCCUCAAUAUGGUUGGGAAAGGAUCAGGAUUUGAAUUGAUUAUAAAAACUUUUCGAUGGUCCCAUCCAUUCAUUUCAGAGCCAAAGUGAUCUGGAAAAAUAAUGCUAGCAUUAUAUUCACUUAAACCAUUAUCAUCUUCACAUGCAAACAAUGAAAAGAGCAUGUCAUUCUAGUGGAACUACAAACCUCAUCUUGCCCUACUUACAAAUCACAUGCUCCCUUCAAUAGAAAAUGCCAAAUAACAAAUACUUAAAUGCAAGAGUGAAAACAUACAUACCACACUCAAAAAAGGACAUUUUCAGUCACAACAAAAUAAUGAAUAAUUGGAAAAGGCAGCAAUCACAGGACAAUAGUGUUAUCAGACCUGGUCUGGCACGUUGACUAGGUUAACCAGGCACUAAACUAGGCUGGGUCUUUCAUUGAACUCAGUGAGAAAUUGAUCUGGAAUAAACCAUGUGACCCGGCUGAGUUUUUCAUUAACCCCAUGUGACCCAGUGACCCAAGCAUUGACCUGAUCCAUAAUUUAUAAACUGAAAUUUUUCAAAAAAAAGUCAAUAUGGAUUUGAUUUUUGAAGUAUUAAAACAAAUAUGCUUUUCCAAACUUAAGACAUUAUUUCA
rnacentral:misc_RNA from 1 species